GCCCCGGUAGCUCAGGGGAUAGAGCAAUCGCCUCCUAAGCGAUAGGUCGGCCGUUCGAAUCGGCUCUGGGGUA
rnacentral:tRNA from 1 species